rnacentral:lncRNA from 1 species
CGCAGGAGACCACAUUUCCGACCAGGCUCUCCCUGCAUGGCCAGCCCUCAGCAGUUCCCUUCUGCACACAACUCUUGGCUCCAAGCCGUGGAGGCAGGAGCCCCUGCCCGCAUCCCAGCGCUGAGGCCAGAGCGAGCGCUACAGAAGCCUUCUGCUGACGGAGCCCAGGUCCCACUGGAGCUGAGCAGAGACCUCUGCCUCGGGUUGCCACGGCCCUCCCCUGGGUUUCUGGAAUGUCUCUGUUUUCCUUCCAUGCCUCCUCCGCCCUUACCCUGUCCACCCUGCGCCAGCCCCGAUGUAUUUAGCUCUUUUAAUCUUGCUUCAUAAGUCAUUCCUGCAAGUCAAGUUCCUGAAAUCCCUCCAAACUGUAUUUGAAACACCCUCUGGUCAACGCCUCAUGGCCCAUUCAGACCGUCAGUGCCGUCUUCAUUAUCAGGAGAAGGACGAUAAGAAACUGUGGAGCAGAGAGACAGCUCUGGCCCUCCACACCAAGGUUUUGUCCCUCUUUCCCUGAAAGAUGCUGAAAUAGCAUUGAAAGACAUGGGGAUGAUUGACUUUAAAGUCUUUACCAUAAAGGUUUCAUCUGGUGGUCAGAGUUUGGGGCUGUAGCAUUUGAGUUAAAAUCCUGACUUCACCACUUAUUCCCUGGGGAAACUUGGCCAAGUUACUUAACUUCUCAGUACCUCGAGAUCCUCAGCUGUAAGACAGGAAUGAUGAGCAGUCAUGAGAAUUUAAAUGAGAUAAUACAUGCACAGUUCUCAUCACUGUGCUUGGUACUAGGCAGUGCUCAACAGACAUUAGCUUACUAUAGUGGCUUUCCUGUGUCUACCCAAGACCAGUUCUUUUCAUCAUUCUUAUUAGCAGAAUUCUGGUUAUAUGCUGGAUACCAAUAUACCCUUGUUGAAAAAAUAAUAAUGCAACUAUUUUUAGCAGUCAGAAGUCUCCAGCUGACAACUGCAGUUCUAGCAAGAGAUAUCAGCUGAAGAUAUAGGUAAUAUUCCC